UACGUAGGUGACCAGCGUUGUCCGGAUUUACUGGGCGUAAAGAGCGCGCAGGCGGUCGUUCAAGUCGAGUGUGAAAGCCCCCGGCUCAACUGGGGAGGGUCAUUCGAUACUGAUCGACUGGAAGGCAGGAGAGGGAAGCGGAAUUCCCGGUGUAGUGGUGAAAUGCGUAGAUAUCGGGAGGAACACCAGUGGCGAAGGCGGCUUCCUGGCCUGUUAUUGACGCUGAGGCGCGAAAGCUAGGGGAGCAAACGGG
rnacentral:rRNA from 1 species